rnacentral:rRNA from 1 species
GACGAACGCUGGCGGCGUGCUUAACACAUGCAAGUCGAACGGAAAGGCCCUGCUUUUGUGGGGUGCUCGAGUGGCGAACGGGUGAGUAACACGUGAGUAACCUGCCCUUGACUUUGGGAUAACUUCAGGAAACUGGGGCUAAUACCGGAUAGGAGCUCCUGCUGCAUGGUGGGGGUUGGAAAGUUUCGGCGGUUGGGGAUGGACUCGCGGCUUAUCAGCUUGUUGGUGGGGUAGUGGCUUACCAAGGCUUUGACGGGUAGCCGGCCUGAGAGGGUGACCGGCCACAUGGGGACUGCGAUACGGCCCAGACUCCUACGGGAGGCAGCAGUGGGGAAUAUUGCACAAUGGGCGGAAGCCUGAUGCAGCAACGCCGCGGGCGGGAUGACGGCCUUCGGGUUGUAAACCGCUUUCGCCUGUGACGAAGCGUGAGUGACGGUAAUGGGUAAAGAAGCACCGGCUAACUACGUG